GGUAGACGAUGGGGAUGCGUUCCAUUAGAUAGUAGGCGGGGUAACGGCCCACCUAGUCUUCGAUGGAUAGGGGUUCUGAGAGGAAGGUCCCCCACAUUGGAACUGAGACACGGUCCAAACUCCUACGGGAGGCAGCAGUGAGGAAUAUUGGUCAAUGGGCGCAGGCCUGAACCAGCCAAGUAGCGUGAAGGAUGACUGCCCUAUGGGUUGUAAACUUCUUUUAUAAAGGAAUAAAGUCGGGUAUGGAUACCCGUUUGCAUGUACUUUAUGAAUAAGGAUCGGCUAACUCCGUGCCAGCAGCCGCGGUAAUACGGAGGAUCCGAGCGUUAUCCGGAUUUAUUGGGUUUAAAGGGAGCGUAGAUGGAUGUUUAAGUCAGUUGUGAAAGUUUGCGGCUCAACCGUAAAAUUGCAGUUGAUACUGGAUAUCUUGAGUGCAGUUGAGGCAGGCGGAAUUCGUGGUGUAGCGGUGAAAUGCUUAGAUAUCACGAAGAACUCCGAUUGCGAAGGCAGCCUGCUAAGCUGCAACUGACAUUGAGGCUCGAAAGUGUGGGUAUCAAACAGGAUUAGAUACCCUGGUAGUCCACACGGUAAACGAUGAAUACUCGCUGUUUGCGAUAUACGGCAAGCGGCCA
rnacentral:rRNA from 1 species